rnacentral:rRNA from 1 species
UCCGUAGGUGGAUAAUUAAGUCAGAUGUGAAAGCCCCGGGCUCAACCUGGGAAGUGCAUUGGAAACUGGCAAACUUGAGUACGGGAGAGGGAAGUGGAAUUUCGAGUGUAGGGGUGAAAUCCGUAGAUAUUCGAAGGAACACCAGUGGCGAAGGCGGCUUCCUGGACCGAUACUGACGCUGAGACGCGAAAGCGUGGGGAGCAAACAGGAUUAGAUACCCUGGUAGUCC